rnacentral:misc_RNA from 1 species
AACGAGGCCGACCUGCGGCUGAGUUACCUGCGGAGGGAUCAUUACAGAGAUUGAUGCACCAAGUGCAUCACCUCCAACCCCUUGCGAAAACAACUAUCAUGUGUUGCUUUGGCAGUGUUUCCACUGCCAGAGGUUUACAUAAAAUCAGCUGUUGGAUGUUGUCUGAGUAAACUAUAUGAAUUAUUUAAAACUUUCAACAACGGAUCU